GACGAACGCUGGCGGCGUGCCUAAUACAUGCAAGUCGAGCGAAGAUUUUCUGGUGCUUGCACUAGAACAACUUAGCGGCGAACGGGUGAGUAACACGUAACGAACCUGCCUCAUAGACUGGGACAACUAUUGGAAACGAUAGCUAAUACCGGAUAACAGUAUUUCUCGCAUGGGAGAUAUUUAAAAGUUGGUUAUGCUAACACUAUGAGAUGGCUUUGCGGUGCAUUAGCUAGUUGGUGGGGUAAAGGCCCACCAAGGCGACGAUGCAUAGCCGACCUGAGAGGGUGAUCGGCCACACUGGGACUGAGACACGGCCCAGACUCCUACGGGAGGCAGCAGUAGGGAAUCUUCCGCAAUGGGCGAAAGCCUGACGGAGCAACGCCGCGUGAGUGAAGAAGGAUUUCGGUUCGUAAAGCUCUGUUGUUAGGGAAGAAUGGAUAUGUAGUAACUAUACAUGUAAGAGACGGUACCUAACCAGAAAGCCACGGCUAACUACGUG
rnacentral:rRNA from 1 species